rnacentral:rRNA from 1 species
UACGUAGGGAGCAAGCGUUGUCCGGAAUCAUUGGGCGUAAAGAGCGUGUAGGCGGUCCGGUAAGUCCGUUGUGAAAGUCGAGGGCUCAACCCUCGAAUGCCGGCGGAUACUGUCGGACUAGAGUCCGGAAGAGGCGAGUGGAAUUCCUGGUGUAGCGGUGAAAUGCGCAGAUAUCAGGAGGAACACCGAUGGCGAAGGCAGGUCUCUGGGCCACUACUGACGCUGAGAAGCGAAAGCAUGGGGAGCAAACAGG